ensembl:misc_RNA 7SK 7SK RNA
CGAUGUGAGGGCAAUCUGGCUGCGACAUCCGUCACCCCAUUGAUCGCCAGGGUUGAUUCGGCUGAUCUGGCUGGCUAGGCGGGUGUCCGCUUCCUCCUUCACCGCUCCAUGUGCGACCCUCCCGAAGCUGCGCGCUCGGUCGAAGAGGACGACCUUCCCCGAUAGAGGAGGACCGUUCUUCGGUCAAGGGUAUACGAGUAGCUGCGCUCCCCUGCUAGAACCUCCCAACAAGCUCUCAAGGUCCAUUUGUAGGAGAACGUAGUCUAGCUUGCAAGAAUCCAGACACAUCCAGAUGAGGUGCUGCACCUGGCAGUCUGCCUUUCUUA